CGGAGAUGAAAACACGGGCCGGUUGGUAGUCCGGCCGCGGCGCAGGGGAACUGUCCCGCCCUCCGCGCCGUCAGUAACCUUCCCUCCCAGGGUCGUCCGUUUUCCGUGAGUA
rnacentral:ncRNA from 1 species